AGCUCCAAUAGCGUAUAUUAAAGUUGUUGCAGUUAAAAAGCUCGUAGUUGGAUUUGGGACUGGAGUCGUCGGGUCGGCCGCGAGGUCUGUUACUGGACGGCUCCGUCAUUUCAUCUCUCGGAGACCCGUCGUGCACUUCGCUGUGCGCGGCGCGGGACUCGGGACGUUUACUUUGAAAAAAUUAGAGUGCUCAAAGCAGGCGUGUGCUUAAAUAGUCGUGCAUGGAAUAAUCAAAUAGGAUCUCGGUACUAUUUUGUUGGUUUUCAGUAUUGAGGUAAUGGUUAAAAGGGACAGCCGGGGGCAUUCGUAUUGCGACGUUAGAGGUGAAAUUCUUAGAUCAUCGCAAGACGAACUACUGCGAAAGCAUUUGCCAAGAAUGUUUUCAUUAAUCAAGAACGAA
rnacentral:rRNA from 1 species